rnacentral:lncRNA from 1 species
CCCUCUUCACACCCAAGAGAUUGGGCAUCCAUCUGGUGAAGGAUCAAGGCAUGGUGACGCAUUGAACAAAGGGCUGCAGGAGUUUUUCGACAAGCUGCUGCUCCAACUUCAGGAAGGUUUUUGAAGAUCUUCCUAAUCAGAUUGAGUUUUGAUUUUUGGAGCAAAGAGUCAUGAGGAGAAGAUGAUCUAGGUCUUACCUGAGUGGAUACUAGUAGAGACCAGAGAUUGCAUGGCUAAAUCAAAACCUUAGGCUUGCUGCGAUCAUCUACAAGGUAAUCAGAUUACCCUUGAGGUAUUUCAUGUUUCCUCAUGCUUUUAGAUUUAUUUUAGAAUUAAUAUUAGAUAAUAAAAUUAGAUCUAGAGAUUUAGAUCUAAAAUAAAUAUAGAAUAAAUUUUUUUAAAAUUAUUCCACCCC